rnacentral:rRNA from 1 species
GACGAACGCUGGCGGCGUGCUUAACACAUGCAAGUCGAACGCUGAAGCUUGGUGCUUGCACUGGGUGGAUGAGUGGCGAACGGGUGAGUAAUACGUGAGUAACCUGCCCUUGACUCUGGGAUAAGCCUGGGAAACUGGGUCUAAUACUGGAUACGACAUGCCACUGCAUGGUGGUGUGUGGAAAGGGUUUUACUGGUUUUGGAUGGGCUCACGGCCUAUAAGCUUGUUGGUGGGGUAAUGGCCUACCAAGGCGACGACGGGUAGCCGGCCUGAGAGGGUGACCGGCCACACUGGGACUGAGACACGGCCCAGACUCCUACGGGAGGCAGCAGUGGGGAAUAUUGCACAAUGGGCGGAAGCCUGAUGCAGCGACGCCGCGUGAGGGAUGACGGCCUUCGGGUUGUAAACCUCUUUCAGCACGGAAGAAGCGAGAGUGACGGUACGUGCAGAAGAAGCGCCGGCUAACUACGUG